rnacentral:lncRNA from 1 species
UCUGAAUGCAAUGAGGUUUUGAUACUGUUUUAAAAAUAUACAAUCAAUUCAUUUAAAGCGUAUGGAUACAGUGUCCACGAAUCUCGAUUGAGACUCAAUUCAUCCAGCCUUACGCCACUCCGAACAUGACUCGACCCAAUCGGAUCUCACGUCAUUUGGAAUGUGACUCAGUCCACUUGACCUCCCACAGAACAGAAUACUUUUUUAAAAUGUAGCUUUUUAGAUUUGAUUGAUAUUAACAAUUGAUUCCCCACAUUGGCUUCUCACAAAUAAAACACCUU